UCUUCAAAGCCGACGGCGGCUGUUGGAGGAAGGGCGGCUGAGGGUCCUGGACCGAAGCGGCCUUAGUUCUUCCCGAAGCUCCUCGCGGCCUUUUCCCCCAACACUCCACCGCCAAGAUGUCUCGGAUCAUGAUCAAGGGGGGCGUGUGGAGGAACACCGAGGAUGAAAUUCUGAAAGCAGCAGUAAUGGAAAUAUGGGUAAAACCAGUGGUGUAGGAUUGCCUCACUGCUGCCUAGAAAAUCAGCAAAGCACUUCCAAUGGGAUGUGGGAAAAUGAAGAGAAAACCACAGAUGAUCAAUGAAAGUUAAACAUGGGGAGAGAGAUCCAAAUCCAGAAGAAAAGCCAGCGGGCCUGGUCCAGUUGAUAGGGUGAGGGUACCUUGCUGCCUUCCAAAAACAGAAAGAACUUUGAGCAGCUGGCAUAGAAAUUUAGAAGAAAAGAAGAGAAAAGUUGAUUAUAAUGCUGGGGAUGGGUAGAGGAUCAAAGGAGGGAGGUUUUUACUGCAGAGACACCACACACAAGGCCUUUACAGAAACUCCCAAAACCAUACUCUACUUUUUAGAUGCUCACAAGACGUUCCCCCAGGAUUGACCAACAACACUGUUACCUACUUGAUGUUCAGUGAAUGUGUUUUACCAUCGUGGUUUUCUCAAAAUUAAUAGCUUGACUUGUGAUGGAAUCUUGCUGAGAGCACACUUCUGAUGGGCUGUCAUCCGCAAGAAGGUCAGUGGAGAGUGGCUUACCCAUUCCUGCUACACCUGGUGAAGCCACCCUGCUCAUAAGGUUCUACCUCAGCUGCCCCUGGUGAAUCAUUCAUUUAAAACCCAACCUGACUUCAAAACCACUUUGAAAUUCUGUGGGUGUGACUCUACUGAUGAGCUAAGACCACACGUUUUACCUAUGUGGUGGGGAGUGUUAAUGUAUGUCCCCAUAGCCUGAGGAGUUUUGAAUUGAGCUUGCCAUUUAAGUCUCCAGCAGCCUGUUGGAGGGUGUGUCACUGGAGUAGAUCUUAAGUCCAGCCCUUAGGUGUGUUCAGAGCAGUUUGAGCUCUGGCUCUUUGUGUCUGCUGGCUGUUUGGUGCAGUCUCUGUGCUAUGAUCUAUGGAAAUGGGCCAGCGUCUUCCACUGCUGAUGGUGUUUCCCCUGGGUUCUGUCUGCCUGAAAUGAGCUCUUAUUUCCCACAAGCUGCAUCUGGUUGGAUGCUUGUCCAGCAAUGCAAAGGUAACAGCAACAACAUAAAGAUGCACUUUGACUCUUCAUAGCUCUACAUAUGGGACACGAUAUAGUCUUCAUUUACUGUUCAUAAGUUUAUCUCUUCAUUGAAUUUUCACAGUGCCUUUAGAUGUUGCUGGUAGAAUCUCAUUAGGAUGUACUGGAAAAAUAGAAUUUCUUCUAAGUAUAUGUGUUCUGGUUUGAACUGUGGAUGCAUUCAAAAUAUAAUUAUGUUUUCUUAGUGGCAGAAUAUUAUAAAAUUGAUAAUCAUUUGUUGUUUAAACAUUUGGUCUAAUCACUUUUUCCAAGUACACCAUCUCACUCAGAAUGGAGCUUCAAGGAGAUCAUGAAGUUCAUUUACUGUUCAUAAAUGUAUCACACUGAAUUUUCACCCUACUGUUAGAUGGUUGGUGCUGGUUGAAUCUUAACGACCUAUAGCAACAAGAGCAUUUCUUCUUCCAAAUCUACCUCUCCUGGUUUGAACUGUGGGUGCAUUCACACUACAGCUGUGUCAGGUUAAUGGGUGUAUGCGGAUGACAGCUCGUAGAGGGAAGAGCUGCGCCUGCGUGGGCUGUGGUGCCGGGUGGCCAGCCUCCGAGUGCCCCCUGGGGCCACACGAACACAGUGCGACUCACGAAGUCACACAUUCAGUCCUUUGCCGUGUCACACUGAAACUUCAUAAGGACCGUUUCUAACCAUUAACAGUCUCAAACAAUAAGUACUUGUAUUUCCUGGGACAUGAAGGCUGGUACUUCUGAAGUUCUCCGUGCUGUUAAAUGCCAGAGGCAAGAGCUAGAUAUGAGCGGUUGCGUCCACAGGGUGUGUUUGGAUGUCUCCACAGUGGAGAAGCGUUGUGUGUUUCAUUAGCUAGCUGUGAUGUUGUGCAGUGAUGGAGAAUGCCUGGAAUCACUGUCAGUGAGGGACAUAGGGAGGAGGCUGUCUACUUCUAAGACUAAUUUAUUCACGGGUAUUCUUGUCAGUCACCUUCUUGUAACUGUGAUGAAAUUACUUGGCAGGGAGCUGGAGAGAUGGCUUAACAGUUGAGAUGCUUGCCUAGACCCACAUAAUCCAGAUGCACAAGGUGGCAUAUACCGGGACUGUGAAGGGGCUACCGUAAAGUGCCCUGUUGGCCUGGGUUAGAAGUGUUCCCUGGCGACUCUGGCCAGCUAGAGGGGCAGAAUUGGAAAAUCUGGAGACUGUCAGUCUCUGGUUGUACUGGACUUAAACUGCAGAAGUUUGGUUUUUCCUUUAUUGUCUUUGUCUCUCCUUGCUAUGCCUUAUGCCAGUUGAAAUGUUUACUCUGCCUUUAUAUGUUGAAAGUAUAUAACUUGUUUGAUUUUAUAGGACACACAGCUAAAAGACAAUUUUAAAUCUCAGGAAACAUGGGACUUCGGAAUUGUCUUAAGUUGGUCAAGACUGAGGGGACCUUUGAGAUUGGACUGAAUACUAUUUACAAUGUGUGAUGGUUAUGAAUCUAUUGUGGGCCAGGGCCUGGAGGCAGUGUCACUGGGCAGAUCUUAAGGUGUGGUGGUGGAUUUGGAAUUUCAGCCUAAAGAUAUGUAAAGUGUGCCAAGCUGGAACUCCUAAAGUGUGCUCUGUGGUGUAGCUUUGGGCUUGUGGCUUUUUCUCUCUCUGCUUGGACCUGUGAAGGCAGGCCAGCUUCUUCUGCCAUUAUAGAACUUCCCCUGAUCUGUAAGCUUCAAUAAAUCCCUUCCUCCAUCACUGUGCCUGGUCUGGAAGUCCAUCUCAGUGAACCUGAAGCUGUCUGCUACAGUACCUUAUUCUCCUAGCUCCUCAUACAUGUGCAUGCAUAUAUUUGAGACAGAGUCCCUAAUGUGGCCUGACAUCUGUUAACCAUGUAAACCAAUACUGACCUUGAACUUUUGUUUCUCCACAUCCAGAGGCCUAAGGUUACAGGCCUGAGCUAACAGGGCCAGUUUUAUGAAAUGUUAGCACUGCCUUUGUGCCCGCUAGGUAAGCACUCUACAAAGUGAACAACAUGCCGGCCCGUUCUUGCUCCUCUGAACCAAACACUUCUUAACACUGCUGUCUAGACACACUGUGAUGCACAAUCCAUCUUAGAAAUCUUGAUCCUCAGUCAAACUUUUGUAAUUGGAAUUCGUACAUCCACUGAGCAUGUUGUCUGCUUUUACUGCAUCAAUCAGCCCUCCUGAAACAACCCGUGUCCAGAAGGAACUCAGUUAUGACACUCAUCUCCCACGUGUUCCAGUGCAGCCCCCACCCCCUCUUCAGAACCUUUCAAACCAGACACAUGUAGGCUUUUUCUACCCUUCGUGCUUCUGAAUGUCUAGUGGCGGAUUCACAGGUGCUACCUCCGGUACCUGUGAGAGUGUCUCGAUCGCUGAAGACUUGGUUUACUCCAGGGGCACACAGGGAAACCAGAACUCUACAUAGUGUCUUGUGAGCUCUUGGUGGGGUGACUAGUGGAGACUGCAAAUUAGAGCAUCAACUAGGAACGGUUUGUUGGAAUACACAACACGGGUCAUCUGUUCCUUAGCCUCAGAGCUUGGUCAUGUAAACCAACGUGCUUUCAUUUGUUCAAGUGUGGAAGUGUAUUCAAAUACAGAAAUCCCCUGUACAUGGCUAUGAUUGUUUUGGAGCUAAUCACUGUAAGUAAGGUAUUGUGAUUCUUUUCAAUAGAGUAAUUUCCCUUUGAAUUGUAUAUUGAGCAAUUGGGACAUCUGUCUGGUGGAGACAUAGUUAUAGACACUCCCUCCUUCAGAAAAUCCCAAACUAAGCUGGGCGUGGUGUCUCAUGCCUUUAAUCCCAGUGCUCUGGAGGCAGAGGUAGGAGGAUCACCAUGAGGCCAUCCUGAGAAUAUAGAGUGAAUUCCAGGUCAACCUGGGCUAGAAUCAUACCCUACCUCGAAAAAACAAAAAAGAAAGAAACAAAGCCCAACCUAGCUAACAGGAUCACAGCUGGAUGCAGGACCAUAUAUAGGCCCUGGGUCUUAGGAUUGGUUACACUUAGCAGGUGGCUCCCAUCACAGUGAUGUACCUGACAAAAGACAAUGAUUAUUUACACAGUUUGUAAACAUUCUAGUCCAUAAUGCACACUUGUGUUUCUUAAAUUUGUCAUGUGUCUUAGAAAAAUAAAAACCUACGUCAAAA